UACGUAGGUGGCAAGCGUUGUCCGGAAUUAUUGGGCGUAAAGCGCGCGCAGGCGGUUUGUUAAGCCAGAUGUGAAAGCCCUGGGCUCAACCUAGGAACGGCAUCUGGAACUGGCAAGCUAGAGUACAGUAGAGGAAGGUGGAAUUCCACGUGUAGCGGUGAAAUGCGUAGAUAUGUGGAGGAACACCAGUGGCGAAGGCGGCCUUCUGGACUGAUACUGACGCUGAGGUGCGAAAGCGUGGGGAGCAAACAGG
rnacentral:rRNA from 1 species